UAUACAUAGAUAAGAAGAAACACUGUUUUGUAGAAAUAGUUUCUGUUCUGGUUUCUUUAUUGCGACCGACCACUUUCUAAACUGCUUUGUGUGGCUUUUCAAAUAUUAAGAUUGGUAGAUUUAUGAACGUAACAAAAUUAAAUGCAGUAAGAAACCCUUGUAAAAAAGUUUGAACAUACUUGAACAUAGAUAGGUGAAAUUGUGUACUACCUUUUUUGUUAUGGAACAAUAACAUAUGCACAUAGAUACUUUUAUAAAUAAUUUAUUAAAGAAAAGUACUCUUUUUUAAUUUCAGUCAACUCGAUUCUCUGUAAUUUUAUGGGAUACAGACCAGCCUGAAACAUAUGUACAUAUGUGCAUAAAUAUGGAGUGCAAGCAAAAAUCAAGAUCCAGCAUAUUAUUACUAUUCGUGGCAGUGUUUUUGGGUUUGUAUUACUUAUCAUUUGAUAAGUUUUAGUCAGACCUCACAUUGAAGAAAGUUACUAAGAUUGACCCAGAAUUGAACAUCUGCUGUGUUGGUCCGAUACACCAAUCUAAAAGUAUCAAUAAAAGACACCACACUUGUGCUCUAGUUUGACAAGAAACCAUAGCUUUUAAACUAGUAAAUCUACAGAAAAGUAUACAUAUGCUGCUUAAAGGGCAUUGACAAAUGUUAAUCAAGCUGCCUAAUUAUAUACAUAUAUAUAUAUAUAUAUAUAUGUAUGUAUAUAUAAACAUAUAUAUAUACAUUUUUUAACGCUUUUUUUAAAAAUAUAAACGGUCCUAAUGAUUUUUCUUAAACAUGUUUAAUAUAUCGCCCUUGAGAUUCCACAACUUUUGAUAUACAUAUAACACAUGGUAAUUCGAAAGCAACAAAACCGUCAACUUUUCUCAGUUCAUAGCACCAAAACCCCUGAAAAUGUAAUACAAAAUAUUUUUAAGUAAAAGCAAGAAAAGUUGUCACCAAAUAUUUCAAAAAUAUUUAGUAUUUAUUUUAAGCUUAAGCUAAAUUUUGUGCAUAUACUUUAAAAAAAAAAUGAGCAAGACAUUAGAAAAUAUGUUAUGUACAUUUUAUUAUUAUUAAAUUCUAACUUCGCUGUUUUUCAAUAGAUUUGAAUAUUCUUCGAUACAAAUUAAUGAAAUUAAUUAAUUUUUAUUAAAAUGAGACAAUGAUAUACUAAAUGCUCAAAUAAGCGCAAAAUCAUCAUAUCCGAAUAUUGUUUUUAAAGAUUAUUUAAUUUAAUAACAUAUACGCAAGUAAAUCAUAAUUUUAAAAACAUUGGGGUACUUUGACUAUGGUUUAAAAACCAAACUUCUGUUAUCAAACAAAAAAAGAAAGGAUGCAAACUUUGGCAAACUGAAGUUCCCUUGAAGCUGUUCUAAAAUUUAAAUGUUCUUGAAAAUAUUAAAAUUAUGAUUUACUUGCGUGUAUGUCUAAAAACACUGUAGCUAUGUACGAUGAUUUGCAGCUCAAUUAAUCGAUAUUCCCUAUGCCAGCUAUAUGAUAUCGUUUUCCGAUUUUAAUAAAAUUAA